rnacentral:rRNA from 1 species
CUACGGGAGGCUGCAGUGGGGAAUAUUGCGCAAUGGGCGGAAGCCUGACGCAGCAACGCCGCGUGAGGGAUGACGGCCUUCGGGUUGUAAACCUCUUUCAGCAGGGAAGAAGCGAGAGUGACGGUACCUGCAGAAGAAGCACCGGCUAACUACGUGCCAGCAGCCGCGGUAAUACGUAGGGUGCAAGCGUUGUCCGGAUUUAUUGGGCGUAAAGAGCUCGUAGGCGGUUAGUCGCGUCGGAUGUGAAAUCCUAGAGCUUAACUCUGGGCCUGCAUUCGAUACGGGCUGACUCGAGUAUUGUAGGGGAGACUGGAACUCCUGGUGUAGCGGUGAAAUGCGCAGAUAUCAGGAAGAACACCGGUGGCGAAGGCGGGUCUCUGGGCAAUUACUGACGCUGAGGAGCGAAAGCGUGGGGAGCAAACAGGAUUAGAUACCCGUGUAGUC